GGGGAAUUUUUCGCAAUGGGCGCAAGCCUGACGAAGCAACGCCGCGUGUAGGAUGAAUGCCCUCGCGGUCGUAAACUACUGUCUAGCGGGACGAAUGUUUCCACAGUGAAUAAUUGUGGGAAGUGACUGUACCGCUGGAGGAAGCUCCGGCCAACUCCGUGCCAGCAGCCGCGGUAAUACGGAGGGGGCGAGCGUUGUCCGGAAUCACUGGGCGUAAAGGGCGCGUAGGUGGCACGGCAAGCGUGUGGUGAAAGCUCGGGGCUCAACCCCGAGUCGGCCAUGCGAACUGCCGAGCUCGAGCACUGUAGAGGCAGACGGAAUUCCGGGUGUAGCGGUGGAAUGCGUAGAGAUCCGGAAGAACACCGGUGGCGAAGGCGGUCUGCUGGGCAGUUGCUGACACUGAGGCGCGACAGCGUGGGGAGCAAA
rnacentral:rRNA from 1 species